GCCUUCAGUGGCCACUUUUCUUUGUCUCCUGCCUCUUUCAGCAUCCCUGCUACCCUCCCUGGCAGCAAAGCAGCUAGAAAACUCCAUCAUGUUCAGUACAUAAACAGACCAAAAAGGAAAGAAGCCACAAAAAUAGGAGAUAGAAGCCAAACCUCUGUCUUCAACCUCUAGAAGAACAAAAGCAAUAAAAAGAAGAUUCACAUCUACUAACAAGAAAGAAUUGGAACUCAAAGUUUUUAGAAUAAAAAUUCAGAAAUCCUAUUUCCCUUUGAACAGUAAGUAAAAAGAUUUCUCAGCUGAC
rnacentral:lncRNA from 12 species